rnacentral:rRNA from 1 species
UACAGAGGUUUCAAGCGUUGUUCGGAUUCAUUGGGCGUAAAGGGUGCGUAGGCGGCGCGGUAAGUCGGGUGUGAAAUCUCGGGGCUUAACUCCGAAACUGCAUUCGAUACUGCCGUGCUUGAGGACUGGAGAGGAGACUGGAAUUUACGGUGUAGCGGUGAAAUGCGUAGAUAUCAGGAGGAACACCGGUGGCGAAGGCGGUUCUCUGGGCAUUACCUGACGCUGAGGAGCGAAAGUGUGGGGAGCGAACAGG